UACGUAGGGAGCAAGCGUUGUUCGGAUUUACUGGGCGUAAAGGGCGCGUAGGCGGCAAUUCAAGUCAGCUGUGAAAUCUCCGGGCUUAACUCGGAACGGUCAGCUGAUACUGCUUUGCUAGAGUGCGGAAGGGGCAAUCGGAAUUCUCGGUGUAGCGGUGAAAUGCGUAGAGAUCGGGAGGAACACCCGUGGCGAAGGCGGCCUGCUGGGCCGAUCCUGACGCUGAGGCGCGAAGGCGUGGGGAGCGAACGGG
rnacentral:rRNA from 1 species